rnacentral:rRNA from 1 species
UACGGAGGAUGCAAGCGUUAUCCGGAAUGAUUGGGCGUAAAGCGUCCGCAGGUGGCUGUGUAAGUCUGCUGUUAAAGAGUGAGGCUCAACCUCAUAAAGGCAGUGGAAACUACAUGGCUAGAGUGCGUUCGGGGCAGAGGGAAUUCCUGGUGUAGCGGUGAGAUGCGUAGAGAUCAGGAAGAACACCGGUGGCGAAAGCGCUCUGCUAGGCCGCAACUGACACUCAUGGACGAAAGCUAGGGGAGCGAAUGGG